rnacentral:tRNA from 1 species
UCACAGCUCAGUUGGUAAAGAAUCUGCCUGCAAUGCAGAAGACCUGGGUUCGAUUCCUGGGUUGGGAA